rnacentral:rRNA from 1 species
UACGUAGGGUGCGAGCGUUGUCCGGAAUUAUUGGGCGUAAAGGGCUCGUAGGCGGUUUGUCACGUCGGGAGUGAAAACUCGGGGCUCAACCCCGAGCCUGCUUCCGAUACGGGCAGACUAGAGGUAUGCAGGGGAGAAUGGAAUUCCUGGUGUAGCGGUGAAAUGCGCAGAUAUCGGGAGGAACACCGGUGGCGAAGGCGGUUCUCUGGGCCUGUACUGACGCUGAGGAGCGAAAGCGUGGGGAGCGAACAGG